rnacentral:rRNA from 1 species
UAACAAGGAUUCCCCUAGUAACUGCGAGUGAAGCGGGAAAAGCUCAAAUUUAAAAUCUGGCGGUCCGUCGGGCGUCCGAGUUGUAGUUUAGAGAAGCGCUUUCCGCGCCGGACCGUGUACAAGUCUCCUGGAACGGAGCGUCGUAGAGGGUGAGAAUCCCGUCUUUGACACGGACCACCGGUGCUUUGUGAUGCGCUCUCGAAGAGUCGAGUUGUUUGGGAAUGCAGCUCAAAAUGGGUGGUGAAUUCCAUCUAAAGCUAAAUAUUGGCGAGAGACCGAUAGCGAACAAGUACCGUGAGGGAAAGAUGAAAAGCACUUUGGAAAGAGAGUUAAACAGUACGUGAAAUUGUUGAAAGGGAAACGCUUGAAGUCAGUCGCGUUCGCCGGGACUCAGCCUUGCUUCGGCUCGGUGUACUUCCCGGUGGACGGGCCAGCAUCAUUUUUGGUCGUCGGAAAAGGGCGGGGGAAAGGUGGCACCUUCGGGUGUGUUAUAGUCCCUCGCCGUAUACGGCGGUCGGGAGUGAGGAACUCAGCACGCCUUUACGGUCGGGGUUCACCCACGUUCGUGCUUAGGAUGCUGGCGUAAUGGCUUUAAACGACCCGUCUUGAAACACGGACCAAGGAGUCUAACAUGCCCGCGAGUGUUCGGGUGGAAAACCCGUGCGCGCAAUGAAAGUGAAAGUUGGGACCUCUGUCGUGGAGGGCACCGACGCCCGGACCAGACCUUCUGUGACGGAUCUGCGGUAGAGCGUGUAUGUUGGGACCCGAAAGAUGGUGAACUAUGCCUGAAUAGGGUGAAGCCAGAGGAAACUCUGGUGGAGGCUCGUAGCGAUUCUGACGUGCAAAUCGAUCGUCAAAUUUGGGUAUAGGGGCGAAAGACUAAUCGAACCAUCUAGUAGCUG